AGUGAACGCUGGCGGUAGGCCUAACACAUGCAAGUCGAACGGCAGCACAGUAAGCGCUCUCCUCUACGGGUGGCGAGUGGCGGACGGGUGAGGCAUACAUCAGAUUCCUCUUUUUCUUGGGGGAUUACGUAGGGCCACUUAUGCUACUACCGCAUAUGUCGUACGGGUUAAUGCAGGGGUUCUUCGCACUUUUCGCGUCUCUUUUAGAUGAUGUCGGAUUAGCUAGUUGGCGAGGUAAAGGCCCACCAAGGCGACGAUCCGUAGCUGGUCUGAGAGGAUGAUCAGCCACACUGGAACUGAGACACGGUCCAGACUCCUACGGGAGGCAGCAGUGGGGAAUAUUCGGCAAUGGGCGAAAGCCUGAUGCAGCAAUGCCGCGUGAGUGAAGAAGGCCUUCGGAUUGUAAAGCCCUGUUGUUGGGAAAGAAAAGAAGUGGAAUAAUACCCCGCUGUUUUGACGGUACCCAAAGAAAAAGCACCGGCUAACUACGUG
rnacentral:rRNA from 1 species